rnacentral:rRNA from 1 species
UACGGAGGGGGCGAGCGUUAUUCGGAAUUAUUGGGCGUAAAGGGCGCGUAGGCGGCUUGGCAAGUCAAAGGUGAAAUCCCUCGGCUCAACUGAGGAACUGCCUUUGAAACUGCUUGGCUUGAGUCCGGGAGGGGGUAGCGGAAUUCCCAGUGUAGCGGUGAAAUGCGUAGAUAUUGGGAGGAACACCAGUGGCGAAGGCGGCUACCUGGACCGGAACUGACGCUGAUGCGCGAAAGCGUGGGUAGCAAACAGGAUUAGAAACCCCCGUAGUCC